GCAGAGGAAAUAAAAUAUGACUGAAAUUAUUAAGUUUAUUUAUCUUAUUAUGAUCAUAUUUAUUUUCCUAUUUCUUGUUGUAAUUGAAAGUUUAACAAUUCCGGAAUGCUAUGAUGAUGAAGAUUGUCCACAUAUGUGUCUCUAUCCUAGAAAUAGAACAUGCAUUUGGUAUUAUUGUACUUGCAUUUAACAGUACAAAAGCAUAUUACUUACAAGUUACAUUGCUGCCUUAAUGAUGAGGAACUAAAAUGAUAUUUAGUAUAUAAUAAGAUUUUAGAAGAAUUUUUUAUUUAAUAAUUUGUAUUUUUUAAAAAAUGAAUUUAAUUUGUAUUUAAUUUGAUUGUAAUGGAUUUAGCUAUUUUAAUCAAGUGGUGCUCAAUAAAAGCUGACAGAAUUGGCUUUAUGGCCUAUUUUAUAAAUAAAGUCUUUAUAAUUAAAUUACUCUUGUAAGACACUAAUUUUUUAAAUUUGAAAUAAUAUAGAAAUUGUUCUUUUAUGAGAAUUUAAGCGUGAGAAACCAACUAUGUCUCUUGUUGGCGCAGCAUAGGCGUGACACAAGUUUGCAGGUGAUAGGCGCGAAAUAAGUACAACGCUCUAUCACUUCAAUAGACGCAACAUGGGAGCAGAACAGAGGAAUCUUGCACAAAAAGAAAUACUUAGAAAACUAAGAUAUGAAAGGAAGAAGAUAAUAGAUAGAGUAUUUGUUGCAAUCAAAUUUUCAUUAGUUGUGAAAUAAGAGUGAUUAGAACAUCUAUUUAUAACAUUGCUUGUUAUCCAAGUAAAUGACACAAGCUAAGUCUCUAACUUACUCAAAAU